rnacentral:rRNA from 1 species
CCUACGGGAGGCAGCAGUGAGGAAUAUUGGUCAAUGGCCGGAAGGCUGAACCAGCCAUACCGCGUGAAGGUCAGUGCCCUAUGGGCGUUAAACUUCUUUUGUGCGGGAGCAAUAAUGGUCACGUGUGGCCAGACGAGAGUACCGUACGAAUAAGCAUCGGCUAACUCCGUGCUAGCAGCCGCGGUAAUAAGGGGGAUGCAAGCGUUAUCCGGAUUUAUUGGGGUUAAAGGGUGCGUAAGCUGUGAGGUAAGUCAGCGGUGAAAUGCCCGCGCUCAACGGGGUGAAGUGCCAUUGAUACUGCCUUGCUGGAGUGCGGAUGCCGUAGGAGGAAUGUGUGGUGUAGCGGUGAAAUGCAUAGAUAUCACACAGAACACCGAUUGCGAAGGCAUCUCACGAAUCCGCGAUUGACGCUGAUGCACGAAAGCGUGGGUAUCAAACAGGAUUAGAUACCCCUGUAGUC